GUCUGUGGCUACAAAAUGAAAGAUGGGUCUGUGGCUACAAAAUGAAAGACCCCCUUUCGGGGACCCCCACUCUAGUCUCGGGAGUGAGAGAGCACCCAAAGAAACACAAGAAUCC
rnacentral:pre_miRNA from 7 species